GGCAGCUUGGCCGAGUGGUUAAGGCGAUAGCCUGCUAAGCUAUUGGGGAAACCUGCGUGAGUUCGAAUCUCACAGCUGUCG
rnacentral:tRNA from 1 species